AGGGAAAUAGCUCAGUGGUAGAGUGUGUGCUUAGCAUGCAAGAAGUCCUGGGUUCAAUCCCCAGUACCUCCA
rnacentral:tRNA from 1 species